UACGUAGGGUGCGAGCGUUGUCCGGAUUUAUUGGGCGUAAAGAGCGUGUAGGCGGCCAGAUAGGUCCGUUGUGAAAACUCGAGGCUCAACCUCGAGACGCCGAUGGAAACCAUCUGGCUAGAGUCCGGAAGAGGAGAGUGGAAUUCCUGGUGUAGCGGUGAAAUGCGCAGAUAUCAGGAAGAACACCCGUGGCUAAGGCGGCUCUCUAGUACGGUACUGACGCUGAGACGCGAAAGCGUGGGGAGCGAACAGG
rnacentral:rRNA from 1 species